rnacentral:tRNA from 1 species
UAUAUUUAGGUGUUUGAUGCACGGAAGUUUUUGAUAUUUCAGGUAAUAGUUUAAUUCUAUUAAGUAUAA